ACACUCUCUCUUCAAGCCUGGAGUGGUGAGUAUUGCACAGGAUUCUGUGCAGGGAUAGAGGAUACCUUCUAAGGGUUCUUUGUAGACAUGGGUGAACUCAGGCAAUCUCUUUAAGCUUUGAUUCUCCCUGGGAAGGAGUGAAGCCAGCACUGUUUAAAGACACUGGAGCCCAGAAAGCCAAGCACUCUGUCACUAAGCAGGAGACUGGUGAGUAUCACCCAGGCCUAGAGGACACCCCAUAGCUCAGGGCAAGGAUGCCUCUGGAUUCCUUGUGGAUCCUGGGGGGAGGGCACUGUGGGACAUUUCUGGGUGCUAUUAAAAUAAAGGGGUCAUUGUCAGCACAGGUGGAGCUUCUAGGCUAGACACAGUGCUCCACCCAGCUGCUGAUUGUGGGGGCAGUCUGAAAUUGCUCCCCAAACCGCAAUUAUCUCUGCUAGGAGGCAACAGGAGAGGAUGGGGUUCCAGGGCCUCCUGGAUCUGGGGCUAAGGCCUAGUAGAUAAGAAGUUCCAGGUGUCCAUGAGAAAUCAGAUGGAGAUCUCUUGUUAAGGGAAGCCAGGUGACCCAGGAGCAGGCUUUGAAGUGCAGACAGGAGCCUGCUUUGGGGACCCUGCUGGGAAGGCUGGCAGAGGAUCUGUGUAGAGAAAUGCAUCUGUCCAGGGACUUCCUGGUCCCUAGACAGGACAUGCUCUGGGUGGUCUGAAGACCUACCUCUGCUCAGAGUGCAGGUGUCCCUCAGACCUUCCAUUCUCAAAGGCUCAACUGCAGGGGCCAUGGAGGGCAGGAACCCUGGAGAGGAAAGUGGCUUUUGAGCCUCUCUGUGGCCACUUUAACACCCUGAUGGACCUGGGAAGGCUCCCACUCUUAGCAUCUCAGAUUCUGGACAGGCAUGGUAGUGGGUGUUUAGGGGUCCUGACAGUGAAAGGAACUGGAUUCUACCCUCAUGCUGGUUCUGUUUCUCACUGUGCUAAGGAUUUAUUCCCAACAGAGGAGUCCUGCCAGGGGGAGCUUUGUCCAGAAUAGAUGGUAUAUGGCACAAGAGUACCAUUGGCAAAUGCCCACUGUCUACUGUAGAGUGGAAGCAUAGCAAACCACCUCCAAGUACAGCAGGAAUUGGCACAAGCCUGCCUGAGCAGGAUGUCUAGAACCCAGCAUGCUUGUGAUGUGCUGGACCCUGACCUUUAAAUGAGGCAGAGACCUGCAUGAAAUGCUGUGGGGGUGCCCUGAUGGUCUCUGUGCAAUGAGAUCUGCAGAGGGAAAGAAUUAGGAGAAGCUGCAGAAAUGCAGGCCCUGUGUGUUCACCACAAAUGGUGUCGUGCUGAAGCCAGGGUCUCUUCCCCUUGAUUGGAACAAGAUCUAGAUGGCUAGAGAAGCUCACUUUAGAUUGAAAGUGUAGCUGGCUUCCUGGGCACUGAGUAGGCAGAAGUAGGUAUGACCCUUGAGGUUGCUUUGCCUAUGGGAUCCAUUAUGUCUCAGAGGUGACUCAUCAGAGUUGCACACACUUGUAGUUUGCAGACAGAACCCAGUGCUUCACAGCAGAGAAUCAAAAACAAACAAGAUGCCCCCAAAUCGUGUUGUAGACUGGCCACAUGUAACCCUUUGUCAUGGGUCACAAGCCCUGGGGACCUAAUGGUGUCAUAAGACCAACUAAAGCAGCCAUGGGACAACAGAUGAGGGUCAAAGGAGUCUUCAUUCUAGAGCCUGAGAUCUUCUGGAAAUAGGAGGCAUUUCAAAGGCAGGGGAGGUAAGAGUUGUGUCUGAAGGAAAUUUCUAGAGUGACAGACUCUGUGAGUGGCUUUAGAAUCACUCCUCUUUUGUGAUCACCCUCCCAAUGCAUACACAGAAUGCAUCCUCCUCUUCUAGAAGAGGGAAUGAUGGGUACUGCAGGAAGCACAGACCCCUGGGAUGGACAGAGAAGGUGAGGCAGUUUCAGAUAUUGGUGUCUCCCAUAUGUUUCUUAGUCAAGUGCCUGACCCCAGUGGCAAGGCUUCCAGAUUCUUCUGAAUCAAACCUGUUAUAUCCAACUGGAAUCCUCCUGGAAAACAUACAAAGAUGAGUUCUUAAGAACGUCAGAAGGAAAGAGCUGAUUUCUUCAUCCAGUCACUGGAUACCAAGUAAACAUCCUGAUACCUCUGAGGAGAGCCAGACAAUGGUGAGCUGCUAUUUAAAGUCACUCUCUACAGGAUAUGAGCUGUGUCCACCUGAGAAGAGGGUGGGGCCUACAGUUAUGAGUGCAUGUGGAAUGCUAGAGAGGAAUAAAGACUGUUCCUUCUCUGAUGGAGUGGCUUUCUUGAGUUUCUGAGGCAAGAUGGAGAUCUUGGUCAGCUGCUUACUUUGCUUGGGCCAAGGUGAGAACAACAGCCCAUCUUUCUCCUUCACUGAAUGUUGUUAGUUGCCAUCAUGGUCUUGGAAACUAGGGGGUUACUAGGGACUGGCAGAGUCCUGGGUGUGAUAUAUUAUUCCUUCCUUGCAUGGUUCACUCUCCAGCCUUCCCUGUGAGUUCUUAUUGUGAUAUUCCCUCCCUGGAGAAGCCAUGUGAUAAAUUUUCUUUAUUGUUGAAUGUUGAAUGCUUAUUAUAUAUUCAGGUACAAAUCUUUGCUCAGAUAGAUGUUUUAUAAAUAUUUACUCUUUGACUGUGGCUUCUCUUUGAAUUUUUUUCGAGCAAGUGUUUAAUUAUCAUGAAGUUGUAUUUAUUGAUAAGUUCUUUUAUUAAUUUUGCCUUGGAUCUAUGAAAGCAGGGCUGUGCUAGCUAAUUUGAAGUCAACUUGACACAAACUAGAAUCAUCUGAGAAGACUGAAUUCAAUUGAGAAAAUGCCCCAUCAGAGGCCUGUGGCAAGCUUGUGGUGAACUUUUUUGACUGAUGACUGAUGUGGGAGAGCCCAGCUCUCUGUGGGCAGUGCAACCCUUUGGGCUAGUGGUCCAGGGUUCUGUAAGAAAGCAGGUGAACAAGUAAGCAGAACUUCAACACGGCCUCUGCUUCAGUUUCUACCUCAAGGUUUCUGUCUUGAGUUCCUGCCCUGACUUAGUGAUAGAACAUGAUCUGAGAGUUGUAAGCUUCAGUAACCCCCUUCAUCUCCAAGUUGCUUUUGGUUGGUGUUUUAUCAUUGCAGUAAUAAAUAAGACAGUUUUAUGACUUUUCCACUAAAGUCUGUGAUUGGUCAUGAAUUCAUUUUUAUGACUUAGAGGUGUGAUUCUUUUUCUCUUAAGUAUACAACAGUUUUGCCCAACAGAAAGUCUUUACUUCCUUCAUAUUGCCUUUGCACCUUGUCUAUACCCGUUUCAUGUGGGGACUUUCAGGGCGAUGUAGUCUGCUCCAUUAAUGGCCUGUUCUUUUUUGUGAAAUACCAUACUCUCUUGCUGCAGUUUUUCAACAUCUUAGGACUAGAUGCUGCCAUCCUCCCUCUUUGUGGUUCUUUCAGAAACAUUUUACCUGUAGGAGCAGAAUUUAAGCCAUUUAUAUUUAAAAUGAUGUGCUGUUG
rnacentral:lncRNA from 1 species